CUGACUAGCACCAAACACACUGCCCCAAGACCAGGACAGACCCACUACCCCUAGACCAGAACCAAACCCACUGCCCCAAGACCAGCACAGACCCACUACCCCAAGACCACAGACCCACUGCCCCAAGACAAGACCAGGACAGACCCACUUCCCCAAGACAAGACCAGCACAGACCCACUGCCCUUAAGACCAGCACAGACCCAAGACCAGGACAAACCCACUACCCCAAGACCAGCACAGACCCACUGCCCCAAGACCAGCACAGACCCACUGCCCCAAGACCACAGACCCACUACCCCAAGACCAGCACAGACCCACUGCCCCAAGCACAGGACAAACCCACGGCCCCAAGACAAGACCAGCACAGACCCACUGCCCUUAAGACCAGCACAGACCCAAGACCAGGAUAAACCCACUACCCCAAGACCAGCACAGACCAGCACAGACCCACUGCCCCAAGACCAGCACAGACCCACUGCCCCAAGACCACAGACCCACUACCCCAAGACCAGCACAGACCCACUGCCCCAAGACCAGGACAAACCCACGGCCCCAAGACCAGCACAGACCCACUGCCCCAAGACCAGAACCAAACCCACUGCCCCAAGACCAGACCAGCACAGACCCACUGCCCCAAGACCACAGACCCACUGCCCCAAGACCAGACCAGCACAGACCCACUGCCCCAAGACCACAGACCCACUGCCCCAAGACCAGACCAGCACAGACCCACUGCCCCAAGACCACAGAUCCACUACCCCAAGACAAGACCAGCACAGACCCACUGCCCCAAGACCACAGACCCACUACCCCAAGACCAGCACAGACCAGCACAGACCCACUACCCCAAGACCAGCACAGACCAGCACAAACCCACUGCCCCAAGACCAGUACAGACCCGCUACCCCAAGACCAGCACAGACCCACUGCCCCAAGACCAGGACAGACCCACUGCCCCAAGACCAGCACAGACCCACUGCCCCAAGGGAGUCUGUAACCCUAAACAUGGCAGAUUUUGUAACUGGAAAU
rnacentral:lncRNA from 1 species